GACGAACGCUGGCGGCGUGCUUAACACAUGCAAGUCGAACGGAAAGGCCUCUUUCGGGGGGUACUCGAGUGGCGAACGGGUGAGUAACACGUGAGUAACCUGCCCUUGACUUUGGGAUAACUUCAGGAAACUGGGGCUAAUACCGGAUAGGAGCUCCUGCUGCAUGGUGGGGGUUGGAAAGUUUCGGCGGUUGGGGAUGGACUCGCGGCUUAUCAGCUUGUUGGUGGGGUAGUGGCUUACCAAGGCUUUGACGGGUAGCCGGCCUGAGAGGGUGACCGGCCACAUUGGGACUGAGAUACGGCCCAGACGCCUACGGGAGGCAGCAGUGGGGAAGAUUGCACAAGGGGUGGAAGCCUGAUGCAGCAACGCCGUGUGCGGGAGGACGGCCUUCGGGUUGGAAACCGCUUUCGCUCAUGACGAAGCUUUGUGUGACGGUAGUGGGUAAAGAAGCACCGGCUAACUACGUG
rnacentral:rRNA from 1 species